rnacentral:rRNA from 1 species
UACGUAGGGUGCGAGCGUUAAUCGGAAUUACUGGGCGUAAAGCGUGCGCAGGCGGCCAUUUAAGUCGGAUGUGAAAGCCCCGGGCUUAACCUGGGAACGGCAUCCGAUACUGGGUGGCUUGAGUGUGUCAGAGGGAGGUGGAAUUCCACGUGUAGCAGUGAAAUGCGUAGAGAUGUGGAGGAACACCGAUGGCGAAGGCAGCCUCCUGGGAUAACACUGACGCUCAUGCACGAAAGCGUGGGGAGCAAACAGG